UACGUAGGGGGCAAGCGUUGUCCGGAAUCAUUGGGCGUAAAGCGCGCGUAGGCGGCCAGGUAAGUCCGCUCUGAAAGCCCAGGGCUCAACCCUGGAAAGCGGGUGGAUACUGCCGGGCUAGAAUCCGGAAGAGGCGAGUGGAAUUCCUGGUGUAGCGGUGGAAUGCGCAGAUAUCAGGAGGAACACCAAUGGCGAAGGCAGCUCGCUGGGACGGUAUUGACGCUAAGGCGCGAAAGCGUGGGGAGCAAACAGG
rnacentral:rRNA from 1 species